UACAGAGGUCCCAAGCGUUGUUCGGAAUCACUGGGCGUAAAGGGUGCGUAGGCGGUAUGGUAAGACUCAUGUGAAAUCUCUGUGCUCAACGCAGAGGCUGCAUGAGAGACUGCUGUGCUGGAGGAUUGGAAGGGAGACUGGAAUUCUUGGAGUAGCAGUGAAAUGCGUAGAUAUCAAGAGGAACACCAGUGGCGAAGGCGAGUCUCUGGACAAAACCUGACGCUGAGGCACGAAAGCCAGGGGAUCAAAC
rnacentral:rRNA from 1 species